rnacentral:rRNA from 1 species
UCACCUAUUAUUAUAUUAAACACAUAAUCUUUAUUUAACUUCCGUUCAUUUAACCUUUACACUUAUUCACCUUCACUGGGCCAUCAAGUCUAACCGCGGCUGCUGGCACAAGUUUUAACCUGACCUGAGUAGGCUUUGCUUAAUCCACACUUAUCUGAUUCAUUAAAUUUUUAAUACUGCACCUCUAAAAAUUGUAGUUCACACUACCAAUCGCGUCGCACCCCCUCUUCGUAUUUAACGAACAGUGCUGUAAAUUACAAACUAAAAUUUGCAUGUAUUUUUCAAGCCAACUAAUAAAGGUAAUAGCAAGAAUCAAACUAUAGA